rnacentral:rRNA from 1 species
UACGUAGGGUGCAAGCGUUGUCCGGAAUUAUUGGGCGUAAAGAGCUCGUAGGCGGUCUGUCGCGUCUGCUGUGAAACUCAGGGCUUAACCCUGAGCUUGCAGUGGGUACGGGCAGACUAGAGUGCGGUAGGGGAGACUGGAAUUCCUGGUGUAGCGGUGAAAUGCGCAGAUAUCAGGAGGAACACCGGUGGCGAAGGCGGGUCUCUGGGC